AUACGGAGGAUCCGAGCGUUAUCCAGAUUUAUUGGGUUUAAAGGGAGCGUAGGUGGACAGUUAAGUCAGUUGUGAAAGUUUGCGGCUCAACCGUAAAAUUGCAGUUGAUACUGGCUGUCUUGAGUACAGUAGAGGUGGGCGGAAUUCGGGGUGUAGCGGGGAAAUGCUUAGAUAUCACGAAGAACUCCGAUUGCGAAGGCAGCUCACUGGACUGCAACUGACACUGAUGCUCGAAAGUGUGGGUAUCAAACAGGAUUAGAUACCCUGGUAGUCCACACAGUAAACGAUGAAUACUCGCUGUUUGCGAUAUACAGUAAGCGGCCAAGCGAAAGCAUUAAGUAUUCCACCUGGGGAGUACGCCGGCAACGGUGAAACUCAAAUGAAUUGACGGGG
rnacentral:rRNA from 1 species